UGGGGAUUAUUGCACAAUGGGCGCAAGCCUGAUGCAGCGACGCCGCGUGAGGGAUGACGGCCUUCGGGUUGUAAACCUCUUUCAGCAUCGACGAAGCGCAAGUGACGGUAGAUGCAGAAGAAGCACCGGCCAACUACGUGCCAGCAGCCGCGGUAAUACGUAGGGUGCGAGCGUUGUCCGGAAUUACUGGGCGUAAAGAGCUCGUAGGUGGUUUGUCGCGUUGUUCGUGAAAACCGGGGGCUUAACCCUCGGCGUGCGGGCGAUACGGGCAGACUGGAGUACUGCAGGGGAGACUGGAAUUCCUGGUGUAGCGGUGGAAUGCGCAGAUAUCAGGAGGAACACCGGUGGCGAAGGCGGGUCUCUGGGCAGUAACUGACGCUGAGGAGCGAAAGCGUGGGGAGCGAACAGG
rnacentral:rRNA from 1 species